UUUAUGAGUUAAGAUUUGUUUAUAAUUUUUAUGAUUAGUUUGUUAUUUUUAAAGUUAUGAUUUAGAAAUUUGUUUUAUUAGCUGUAUAUAUAGAUCCACAUAGCCAUGGUGAGUAAAAAUAAGAACUUGACAAGAUAGUUGCCCUACCUAGCGAAGUUUGAAAACUGAACAACACUUGUGUUCAUCGUUUCACCUUCUUCAACUCUAUUUUCUCCAUGGAUUAUGCUGCGUAUCAAGUUAAAAUAGCUAAUGGUGACGCAUUCUGGAGAAUCAACUUGGGGAAAUUGAGCUGUCACAACGGCGGCACAAUUACAUCACUACCUUUCAAGAUUUUCAAGUGGAAUUGGCAUAUAUCAGUAACACGGCGUCCUAAUCGCAUCACAUUAGUUGCACAAGAAUCAACAAACAAUCCUCCACUCGCAUGUUUCUACAUUUCUCUACUAUCAACUGAUUCUAAAGUCGUCGCCAAAUAACAUCAAAUAGACAAUAUCAUUAUUCACAAGGAUAGUUUUGUUUGGAACCUUGAUAUUCCCAUACCUGAUCAAUGUGUUAUUAAAAUUCAAUUCUGGGACGUCAAUGUUUGUUUAAGGCCGGAAAAAGUCACCUUCUUCACUGUCUCGAACGUUAAGAUUGGACAUCUACAAAGACAUCACAAUUAAGGUCAGUGGAUCUGAUAAAAUCAUAAGAGCUCAUCAAGCUGUUCUUGCAUCAUUGUCAGAAGUUUUCGAAAAAAUGUUGGAGGAGAAUCCAUCUACUAUAACCAUACAUACCUGACAUGUCAUUUGAAGCUUGUGAAGCAUUAAUCAAUUAUCUCUAUAAAGACAUUGAAGAAGAAGAAUUUAGAAAGUAUAUGUGUGAGUUAUCCGACACAGCUGAAAAAUAUGAAAUAGCUACCUUAAAAAAGGCGUGUGAAAUGGUGCUACAAGAUGAUUUGUUAUUAUUGUGUCAUUUGUUUUGUAAAAUUACUCAACCAUCUCUGUGUGAAAGAUCUUGAAGACCUCAUUGGAACUCUUGAUAUUUCAGAAUACACUGUUUUUUCUUUUUGUUUUCAAUGGAAUAAUGAACUGAUUUUUUUUCUUU